rnacentral:rRNA from 1 species
UACAGAGGUCUCAAGCGUUGUUCGGAUUCAUUGGGCGUAAAGGGUGUGUAGGUGGCGCGCUAAGUCGGGUGUGAAAUUUCGGAGCUUAACUCCGAAACUGCAUUCGAUACUGGCGUGCUUGAGGACUGGAGAGGAGACUGGAAUUUACGGUGUAGCAGUGAAAUGCGUAGAUAUCGUAAGGAAGACCAGUGGCGAAGGCGGGUCUCUGGACAGUUACUGACACUGAGGCACGAAGGCCAGGGGAGCAAACGGG